GACGUCGAUAUUCGACGUCAUAAAAACGAUCAACUUUGGUGUGUAUGACGUCGAUAUUCGACGUCAUAUACACGAUCAGCUUAGAUGGUUAUGACGUCGAUAUUUGACGUAAUAAAUACGAUCAAAUUUGGUGUAUGUGAAGUCGAUAUUUGACGUCAUAAACACGAUCGACUUUGGUGUUGAUGACGUCGAUAUUCGACGUCGUGAAAACGAUUAACUUUGGUUUUAAUGAGGUCGAUUUUCGACGUCAUAAACACGAUCAACUUUGGUGUUUAUGACGUCGAUAUUCGACGUC
rnacentral:miRNA from 1 species